GGGUGUAGCUCAGUCAGGGAGAGCGCCGUUAUAUACUUCUGGCCUUACAGCAAAAGGAGUUCCUUUUAAUAGCUUUGGGAGCCGGAGGUCGCUGGUUCGAAUCCAGCCGCCCCUGCCA
rnacentral:tRNA from 1 species